rnacentral:rRNA from 1 species
AUUGAACGCUAGCGGCAGGCCUAACACAUGCAAGUCGAACGAGUGGCGGACGGGUGAGUAAUGUCUGGGAAAGUGCCCGAUGGAGGGGGAUAACUACUGGAAACGGUAGCUAAUACCGCAUACCAUCGGAUUGGCCCAUAUGGGAAUAGCUAGUAGGUGGGGUAACGGCUCACCUAGGCGACGAUCCCUAGCUGGUCUGAGAGGAUGACCAGCCACACUGGGACGGAGACACGGCCCAGACUCCUACGGGAGGCAGCAGUGGGGAAGAUUGGACAAUUGGCGAAACCCUGAUGCAGCCAUGCCGCGUGUUUGAAGAAGGCCUUCGGGUUGUAAAGUACUUUAAGCGAGGAGGCGGUACUCGCAGAAGAAGCACCGGCUAACUCCGUGCCAGCCGCCGCGGUAAUUC